rnacentral:rRNA from 1 species
GAUGAACGCUAGCGGCAGGCUUAAUACAUGCAAGUCGAGGGGCAGCACGGUUAGCAAUAACUGGUGGCGACCGGCGCACGGAUGCGUAACACGUAUACAAUCUACCUUAAACAGGGGGAUAGCCUUUCGAAAGAGAGAUUAAUACCCCGUAAUAAAUUGAACGGCAUCGUUUGAUUUUGAAAGCUCCGGCGGUUUGAGAUGAGUAUGCGUCUGAUUAGCUAGUUGGUGAGGUAAACGGCUCACCAAGGCGACGAUCAUAGGGGGAUCUGAGAGGAUAACCCCCACACUGGUACUGAGACACGGACCAGACUCCUACGGGAGGCAGCAGUAAGGAAUAUUGGUCAAUGGAGGCAACUCUGAACCAGCCAUGCCGCGUGCAGGAUGACGGCCCUAUGGGUUAGUAAACUGCUUUUAUACAAGAGAAAACCCUGGUACGUGUACCAGGUUGAUAGUA